GGUCUGGUGGUCUAGUGGUAUGAUUCGCGCUUAGGGAACACCCUAAUGCUCAAGCUGCGCGAGGGUACGUCAUUUCUGGUCCACUUCCAAAACUACAGCACAACUAACUCUCACCCAGUCCCGGGUUCAAUCCCCGGCCAGACCC